rnacentral:misc_RNA from 1 species
GAUGAAGAACGUAGUGAAAUGCGAUAAGUAACGUGAAUUGCAGAAUUCAGUGAAUCAUCGAAUCUUUGAACGCACAUUGCGCCCGCCAGUAUUCUGGCGGGCAUGCCUGUUCGAGCGUCAUUUCAACCAUCAAGCCCCAGGCUUGUGUUGGGGACCUGCGGCUGCCGCAGGCCCUGAAAACCAGUGGCGGGCUCGCUGUCACACCGGGCGUAGUAGAUUUUAUCUCGCUCAGGGCGUGCUGCGGGUUCCGGCCGUUAAAAAGCCUUUUUUACCCAAGGUUGACCUCGGAUCAGGUAGGAAUACCCGCUGAACUUAAGCAUAUCAAUAAGCGGAGGA